rnacentral:misc_RNA from 1 species
AACUUUCGACAAUGGAUCUCUUGGCUCUCGCAUCGAUGAAGAACGCAGCGAAAUGCGAUAAGUAAUGUGAAUUGCAGAAUUCAGUGAAUCAUCGAGUCUUUGAACGCACCUUGCACCCUUUGGCAUUCCGAAGGGUAUGCUCGUUUGAGUGUCAUUGUACUCUCACACUUCCGAUCUUUGGGUUUUGAGCGGUGGACUAGGGUGUUGCUGCUUAUCUGUGGCUCACCUCAAAUGGAUUAGUGCAACUCUUGGUUGGACAUAGUACGGCGUGAUAAGUGUCUUCGCCGGCACCUCGUAAUAGAGGGUGGCCGAUCGGGAGCUCUGUGCUUCAAACCGUCUUCGGACAAGGACUGACAACUUGACCUCAAAUCGAGUAGGACUACCCGCUGAACUUAAGCAUAUCAAUAAGCGGAGGCU